AUCAGAUUCGACAAUCACACUCAACUUCUGCCCGAACGAGCAGUGGGGUACGACAGCACAGAUAAAGUAUUUGGAGCCAGCAGUACCAAGAGAGAUUGUCACAGGGCUCAAUUCAUGAAGUGGUGUUUCUCCCUCGGAAGCUACAACGAGAGAGGUGGAAGACGAAGACGAAAAAGACAUUGACAUUGGAGAAGGAUUUAAAAAGCUUAUUACCAAGUUUGUCACCAACAAUGAAGGUCUUAUUGGCAGCCCACCUGGUGUAAAACGAUGGGUCGUCCUUCGGAAAUCUCCAGCCUUGAUCAUCUCCCACCUUAUGGAUGGUUGAAGCAGUUGCAGUUGUAGCCAUGACAGCCAAUGCUAAAGCAAUCAUACACCAAACAAAACUCAUUGUGCUGCCCAUUUUUCUUCUGGCUUUCCUUCCUAAUUCUCUCUUGAGACUUUUUGCUAUUUAUGCAUGGCAUGCAUUUAUAUGAAGUUAAGCUGAAAACAAAAUCAUAAGUAUUUUUAGUAAAGGAAAUAAUUAAAGAACUUGGAUAACUAUGUAUGCAUCUUCAUAUAAUAGGAAGUUGCUCAAAACCACCCAUUUUUUGGGGUUUAAUGUUGGACAUAUCUGUUUAUUGUUA